CUUGCUUCUCCCUGUGUCUCCCGGUGACUUCACCCUUCUUCAUCCCAAGGCUCUCUCCCUAUCUACACGUCCUGCCGAUUGUCUUCCUGCCUAGCUGUUGAUCAUUUAGUUCUUUAUUAAACCAAUGAGAGCAACACAUCUUCACAGAUUGUUCCACAAUGUUCACCCCAGUUUGGGUGAGUAUGGAAGGUACCAUGUGCCCUUUAGGGAGGGCACUCCCACCAAGCAAGCAUGACAGUUGCUCAGCUGUCUGGUUAGGGAUGGGAGGUAGAGUGUACCGUGUUUAGGUGUGCUGCUGUCACCCAUGGAUGGACUAACUCAAAAAAUGAUGGGCAAAAGAAGGCAACGAACUCUGCUUUCUGGGUCUCCAGCAAACGUGGCACAAUGGCCAGUUCUACAGAGACUUUGAGGUCUGCUGCUGCAUGAAAGGAGUCCUGCCCCCGCCCACUCCUUCUCUGGACCUUUAGUCUCUGACGGUGAGUAGGCCCCAUCAUCUCUCAAUCACCCAUCCUGACAUGGAUGCUACCGACAUGUAUUCUUCUGCAGAAUCCCUUCAUGGAGGCUCUGUCUGCCUGUCUCAUCCAACCAAGUCUCGCCUCCUCCAACUUCCUGCCCAAGCCCAGUGUUUCCUAUGAUUUAUGCUGCAUUAAUCUGACUAAGAGUACUCACCCUGUGCUAUUAACCAAGGUAGAGUUUAGAAAGCAACAGAAUCAUGUCCUCUAUCUCCCACACUCCCCUCCCCCUGCUCUCCUAAGCUCUUCUACACUGUUUAAUCUGUAGGUCAUAAAUCCCAAGCACUACAUUUCACCACUGGGUCUACUCAAAUGUAUAUUACACAUCAAUUCACAAUGCAGGGCUUAAUCCAUAAUCAUUUAACUGAAACACUUGGGACUAGUAGGCAGAAGCUAUGUCUUAAGCGCAGCCCUUGAGGGGUGGUGUGAAAUACUUUAUGCUGUAACAUCGACUAGUCAUGCAUGUAUUGUGCUGCAUAAAACCUUUUGGUUUUCACUUGUGUUUCAGACUCUAUGCCCCAAACCAGGGGGUAAGUAUGUUGACUCACAGCUCUGGAAUCCCACAGGGCGCUAGGGUGUUUGUAAAGCUCUUGCUUUCCACGGGAAAACAGCAACGUGACCAGCACGGGGUCAUGUUCUCUGCAAAGAAGGUUUAGCUCACAGAACUCAGAUUUGACAAGAGCAAAAAGAACCCAAUCCACUUUAAACUUGACAAACGUGAUCUAUCAUCCUUGAACCAGUGGUAGUGAUUUAGAAGGAGAAAGAAAAACUUCUGGCAGCCAGAGUUUAUGUUUUCAGUUCCCCUCUCUAAAGGUCUUCCCAUGUUUCUUUUUCAGGGGAAAUUUCCAAUUCCCACUAGAUCUGAUGAAACCUUCAAACCUAAAAACCCCCGCAGGAAAGUAAAAGUUCGCGUUAAGAUCCGACAGUGUCUGUUCAACUGUUAACUCAUUGAAUAACCAUUGACUUCAGAUUUGCCCAUAGCCAGCCACUGCCCUGGGGAUGUGGAGCUGGAGGAGAAGCCGUUCUGUUUCUCGGUGCAACAGAGCCUGAAGAGCUGUGCUCCCAUCUCCAGGAGUGAUGCAGGCUGAGGAGAUGUGAUCUCUUCUCCCAGUGUGAUGGGAGUGAGGAGAAAUACCUAUCUCCAAGUGCAAUGCAGGCAGAAAGCAGAGGAGAAGGAUUUGUGCAUCUUGGCAUGAUGGAAUCUGAGGAGAAGCACUCCAGCAUCCAGCAGGGAUGAGGCAGAGGAGGCACAAUUCCACCUCCAAAUCACUACAGCCUGACUAAGUGAGCCUAGAUCAAGUGUGCUGGCCGCUGUAUGGUACAUGAACAGAGAGGCACAGCAGGGUCGGUUUCCACCAAGGAUUCAGGAAAAGCCUCACGAGGGAUGCAGCAUUUGGAGCCUGCCAGGAACUGUGCUAUUGUUAUUUGGGGCAGGCAUUCUCAAAAGGAAGGGAACAGUUUGGCAAAGGAACAUGACUGGGUCCUGGCCUCGUAAAGACAGGCUGAGAUCUUGUGAGAAGCAGCCCAACACAGACAGCAAAUGCACUCCUUGGUGCUCCAAGUUAAAAAGAAGUUAUCUGGGUAUAGAGGCUGGUGAUUGUCAUCCCAGGAUCUGGAAGCAAGGGGGUUGCACAAAGUGUGAGGCCAGCCUGGGCUACACAGUGUUUCGGGA